rnacentral:rRNA from 1 species
AUAUCAAUAAGCGGAGGAAAAGAAACCAACAGGGAUUGCCCUAGUAACGGCGAGUGAAGCGGCAACAGCUCAAAUUUGAAAUCUGGCUCUCUUUGGGGGUCCGAGUUGUAAUUUGCAGAGGAUGCUUUGGCAUUGGCGGCGGUCUAAGUUCCUUGGAACAGGACAUCACAGAGGGUGAGAAUCCCGUACGUGGUCGCCUGCCUUUGCCGUGUAAAGCUCCUUCGACGAGUCGAGUUGUUUGGGAAUGCAGCUCUAAAUGGGAGGUAAAUUUCUUCUAAAGCUAAAUACUGGCCAGAGACCGAUAGCGCACAAGUAGAGUGAUCGAAAGAUGAAAAGUACUUUGGAAAGAGAGUCAAAAAGCACGUGAAAUUGUUGAAAGGGAAGCGCUUGCAGCCAGACUUGCCCGCAGUUGCUCACCUAGGCUUUGGCCUGGGGCACUCUUCUGCGGGCAGGCCAGCAUCAGUUUGGGCGGUUGGAUAAAGGCCUCUGUCACGUAUCUCCCUUCGGGGUGACCUUAUAGGGGAGGCGCAAUGCAACCAGCCCGGACUGAGGUCCGCGCAUCUGCUAGGAUGCUGGCGUAAUGGCUGUAAGCGGCCCGUCUUGAAACACGGACCAAGGAGUCUAACAUCUAUGCGAGUGUUUGGGUGUCAAGCCCGAGCGCGCAAUGAAAGUGAACGGAGGUGGGAACCCUUUGGGUGCACCAUCGACCGAUCCUGAUGUCUUCGGAUGGAUUUGAGUAAGAGCAUAGCUGUUGGGACCCGAAAGAUGGUGAACUAUGCUUGAAUA